rnacentral:rRNA from 1 species
AUUGAACGCUGGCGGCAUGCCUUACACAUGCAAGUCGAACGGCAGCACGGGAGCAAUCCUGGUGGCGAGUGGCGAACGGGUGAGUAAUAUAUCGGAACGUGCCCAGUCGUGGGGGAUAACGUAGUGAAAGCUACGCUAAUACCGCAUACGAUCUAUGGAUGAAAGCGGGGGAUCGCAAGACCUCGCGCGAUUGGAGCGGCCGAUAUCAGAUUAGCUAGUUGGUGGGGUAAAGGCCCACCAAGGCGACGAUCUGUAGCUGGUCUGAGAGGACGACCAGCCACACUGGGACUGAGACACGGCCCAGACUCCUACGGGAGGCAGCAGUGGGGAAUUUUGGACAAUGGGCGCAAGCCUGAUCCAGCAAUGCCGCGUGCAGGACGAAGGCCUUCGGGUUGUAAACUGCUUUUGUACGGAACGAAACGGCUCUCUCUAAUACAGGGGGCUAAUGACGGUACCGUAAGAAUAAGCACCGGCUAACUACGUGCCAGCAGCCGCAGUAA